rnacentral:rRNA from 1 species
UGAACGCUGGCGGUAGGCCUAACACAUGCAAGUCGAACGGCAGCACAGUAAGAGCUUGCUCUUACGGGUGGCGAGUGGCGGACGGGUGAGGAAUACAUCGGAAUCUACUUUUUCGUGGGGGAUAACGUAGGGAAACUUACGCUAAUACCGCAUACGACCUACGGGUGAAAGCAGGGGAUCUUCGGACCUUGCGCGAUUGAAUGAGCCGAUGUCGGAUUAGCUAGUUGGCGGGGUAAAGGCCCACCAAGGCGACGAUCCGUAGCUGGUCUGAGAGGAUGAUCAGCCACACUGGAACUGAGACACGGUCCAGACUCCUACGGGAGGCAGCAGUGGGGAAUAUUGGACAAUGGAUGCAAGCCUGAUCCAGCCAUACCGCGUGGGUGAAGAAGGCCUUCGGGUUGUAAAGCCCUUUUGUUGGGAAAGAAAAGCAGCAGGUUAAUACCCCGCUGUUCUGACGGUACCCAAAGAAUAAGCACCGGCUAACUUCGUG